CUUACGCCAAAAAUGGCUACGAGCAUUACUACGAUGGUGAGAGCGGCACUGGGUAUUUGGCAUGGAGGAUAAAAACAAUACAGAGAGGCUUGGCGAAGGAUCGAAGAGCAUCAUUUGGAGAACAAGGAUUGUCUGCUGAGGGCAUGUCUGGUGGUGGACCAACUGUAAGACGGGAGUCAGAGUUUACCCCUGAGACUGUCUUGAGUGAGGAGGAAUGCAAAGAAGCUAUUGCAUUCAUGAGCCAUUCAGCUGAUGAGGAAGCAGUCAAAAAGAAAAUGAAAUUGACAUUUGACUA